AGUUUGAUCAUGGCUCAGGAUGAACGCUAGCGGCAGGCUUAAUACAUGCAAGUCGAGGGGCAGCAUGACUGUAGCAAUACAGUUGAUGGCGACCGGCAAACGGGUGCGGAACACGUACAGAACCUUCCUUCGAGCGAGGAAUAGCCCAGGGAAAUUUGGAUUAAUACCUCAUAGUAUUAUGGAGUGGCAUCACUUUAUAAUUAAAGAUUUAUCACUUGAAGAUGGCUGUGCGACUGAUUAGGUAGUUGGCGGGGUAACGGCCCACCAAGCCUACGAUCAGUAACUGGUGUGAGAGCACGACCAGUCACACGGGCACUGAGACACGGGCCCGACUCCUACGGGAGGCAGCAGUAAGGAAUAUUGGUCAAUGGACGAAAGUCUGAACCAGCCAUGCCGCGUGGAGGAUGAAGGUCCUCUGGAUUGUAAACUUCUUUUAUCUGGGAAGAAACCCACGGUUUCUACUGUGGUUGACGGUACCAGAUGAAUAAGCACCGGCUAACUCCGUGCCAGCAGCCGCGGUAAUACGGAGGGUGCAAGCGUUAUCCGGAUUCACUGGGUUUAAAGGGUGCGUAGGUGGGCAGGUAAGUCAGUGGUGAAAUCUCCGGGCUUAACCCGGAAACUGCCAUUGAUACUAUUUGUCUUGA
rnacentral:rRNA from 1 species